UACGUAGGGUGCGAGCGUUAAUCGGAAUUACUGGGCGUAAAGGGCGUGUAGGCGGGAAGGCAAGUCGGGCGUGAAAGCCCCAGGCUCAACCUGGGAACUGCACUCGAAACUGCCUUUCUUGAGUGCCGGAGAGGAAAGCGGAAUUCCUGGUGUAGAGGUGAAAUUCGUAGAUAUCAGGAGGAACACCAGUGGCGAAGGCGGCUUUCUGGACGGUAACUGACGCUGAGACGCGAAAGCGUGGGGAGCAAACAGG
rnacentral:rRNA from 1 species